AUGGCCUGGACCCCUGUCCUGCUCCCCCUCCUCACUCUCUGCAGAGGCUCUGUGUCCUCCUAUGAGGUGACACAGCCACCCUCGGUGUCAGUGUCCCCGGGACAGACAGCCAGGGUCACCUGCUCUGGAGAUUUACUGGAUAAAAGAUAUACUCAGUGGUAGCAGCACAAACCAGGCCAGUCCCCUGUACAGGUGAUAUACGAAGAUAGUGAGCGGCCCUCGGGGAUCCCUGAGCGGUUCUCUGGCUCCAGCUCAGGGAAGACGGUCACCUUGACCAUCACUGGGGCUCAGGUUGAAGAUGAAGCUGACUAUUACUGUCAAUCAUAA